GAAUUAAGGAGCAGUAUUCUAGUCGAAAAAACUUGUUAGGACGGUGAUGAAAUAAAGCACCAUCGGGCACACCUGUGAAGUUUCUUGUGUUUGCCUUGGUUGCCCAAACCGGGGCAUUUGCUGGAAGUUAAGAUUUAUGGGCGUGUUGUAACGGCAUAUAACGUGCGACCCAUUUAUCGUGGAGACCUAAAAGGUUGUGAAUCGUGCAUUAGCAUAACUACAUAACUAAUUAGGCUUGAACCUGCAAUGCGGAUUAUGAAUUUCUGUGUGCAGAGUAGCCUGCUUUGAGUGAAAACAGCGGAUUAGACAUCAGGGGUUUGAACUUUGGCCAAAGUUUAUAUCUUAUCGGUUUAUGAAACUCUAUUUGCAAAACAAGCUAAUAAUCAGGUUGAUUCGCUAAGGAAAACUUCUAGACUGUGAUUUUGGGGAUUAUAGUGCAAUCUAAGUGGUGAUUCAGUUUUUUAUCGGCGACGGUAAAAGUAAAUUCUUGAAUGGAAACGGCUUAUUCGGUGACGGUAAGUGAAUUUACGGGAAAUCCUACUGGACCUAAGUUGCAAGGUUUACUCAAAAUCAUUCCUUU
rnacentral:sRNA from 1 species